UACGGAGGGUGCAAGCGUUAUCCGGAUUCACUGGGUUUAAAGGGUGCGUAGGCGGACAGGUAAGUCAGUGGUGAAAUCUCCGAGCUUAACUCGGGAACUGCCGUUGAUACUAUUUGACUUGAAUACUGUGGAGGUAAGCGGAAUAUGUCAUGUAGCGGUGAAAUGCGUAGAUAUGACAUAGAACACCAAUUGCGAAGGCAGCUUACUGGACAGUUAUUGACGCUGAGGCACGAAAGCGUGGGGAGCAAACAGG
rnacentral:rRNA from 1 species